rnacentral:tRNA from 1 species
GGAGAGGUGUCCGAGUGGUUUAAGGAGCUAGUCUUGAAAACUAGUGAUCCGAAAGGACCGUGGGUUCGAAUCCCACCUUCUCCGCCA